rnacentral:rRNA from 1 species
UACGUAGGGGGCAAGCGUUGUCCGGAAUCAUUGGCGUAAAGAGCGUGUAGGCGGCCAGGUAGGUCUGCUGUGAAAACUCGAGGCUCAACCUCGAGACGUCGGCGGAAACCAUCUGGCUAGAGUCCGGAAGAGGAGAGUGGAAGUUCCUGGUGUAGCGGUGAAAUGACGCAGAUAUCAGGAGGAACACCGGUGGCGAAGGCGGUCUCUGGGCAUUACCUGACGCUGAGGAGCGAAAGUGUGGG